rnacentral:rRNA from 1 species
GUCGAACGCUGGCGGCGUGCUUAACACAUGCAAGUCGAACGGAAAGGCCCUGCUUGCGUGGGGUGCUCGCGUGGCGAACGGGUGAGUAACCCGUGAGUAACCUUCCCUUGACUUUGGGAUGACUUCAGGAAACUGGGGCUAAUACCUGAUAGGAGCUCCUGCUGCAUGGGGGGGGUUGGAACGUUUCGGCGGUUGGGGAUGGACUCGCGGCUUAUCAGCUUGUUGGUGGGGUAGUGGCUUACCCAGGCUUUGACGGGUAGCCGGCCUGAGAGGGUGAGCGGCCACAUUGGGACUGAGAGACGGCACAGACUCCUACGGGAGGCAGCAGUGGGGAAUAUUGCACAAUGGGCGGACGCCUGAUGCAGAAACGCCGCGUGCGGGAUGACGGCCUUCGGGUUGUAAACCGCUUUCGGUUGUGACGAAGCGUGAGUGACGGUAAUGGGUAAAGAAGCACCGGCUAACUACGUG